GACGAACGCUGGCGGCGUGCUUAACACAUGCAAGUCGAACGAAGUGGCGAACGGGUGAGUAACGCGUAAUCAACCUGCCCUUCAGAGGGGGACACCAGUUGGAAACGACUGCUAAUACCGCAUACUGAAGGAGGGGAUUGCGUCUGAUUGGCUAGUUGGAGGGGUAACGGCCCACCAAGGCGAAGGUCAGUAGCCGGUCUGGGAGGGUGGACGGCCACAUUGGGGCUGGGACACGGCCCAGACUCCCACGGGAGGCAGCAGUGGGGGAUCUUCCGCAAUGGAGGAAAGUCUGGCGGAACAACGCCGCGUGAGUGAUGACGGCCUUCGGGUUGUAAAGCUCUGUUAAUCGGGACGCGGUACCGGAAUAGAAAGCCACGGCUAACUACGUGCCAGCAGCCGCGGUAAUUC
rnacentral:rRNA from 1 species